GAGAGAGUCACGCGGCAGGGUGUGGUGUCUGUGCUUCCUUCUCGCAAAUGUUGACCUUUUUUUGUAAGACAACACUUUGCCGUUUCAAAAGAGAGGAAAUUCCCUUUGUUUGGCUGGAAAUGUCAACGUGGCUUGCUCCCAAUUUUUCCUUGUUUUUCUGUGUAGAUUCGGGCUUCGUCACUCGAAAUACGUGUCAGUGAUAUUUCAAGACAAUAACAAUUUGCGUUUAUGUGGUUCCGUUCACACAUCAAAUAAUAUGUGGCAAAUGGAGCUCAUACAUCGGGAGAUGCGACCAAAGUUAGGUAUUUCAAAACUGAAGACUUGAAUUUUUUCAGAUCAUAAGAAAUAGGAGCAGGAGUAGGCCCUUCAGCCCCUGAGCCUACGCCAGCCAUUCAACAGGGAUGCAAUGUACUUACCAGCGGGGAGAUCCUGAGUGGCCGAUCUUUUGAAGCUUGCCCGUGUUAUUGGCUUCAUCAACUUUUGCUCUGGAUUACUCUGGAUACAAAUCAGUCAAGAUUCUUCAACCGAACGGUGUAAUCAGGAGCGAGAGUUCACUUUCGUCAAUGGUUAGUUCGACUGCAGUCGAGUUUUUGUCAUCGAUGCUACGGUCUAUAUAAGCACCAUUGAGCACGAGUGAUGCAUGUGGCAAUCUCAGUCAAUACCUAUGGCUGGGAAAGCACCUCAGCCAGCGACAUUUCUGGGAAUUGCACUGCUUUUCAACGACUCACAGGAGGGAGAGACGUUAUCAUAAGACACCUGGAAACCGCCCACCCAGAAACAAAAACAAGAAGCUGGGAAAUCGCAACAAGUCACGCAACAGCUGUGUGAAUUUACCAGCUCAAUGACCUUUCAUCAGAAUUAGCCAUCGGUUUGGUCAGCAACAUUUGCAGAUGUCAACUACAAGUGACCACCUGUUGUGCAAGAAAUUUGAGAGCCAGGAGGCCACCUGAGACAGGGUGAAGAGGAAAAAAACCCCAAGAAUGGAAAAGAGGGGAAAUGGAAAGUGAAGGAGUGAAUCAUAGAGGAGAAAUCACAGAUGGGAAGAAUUUGAUUUUAUUUGAAUAAAAGGAUUAAAUUGGACCAAA